rnacentral:lncRNA from 1 species
GCGCAACAGCUGCAACGCCAUCCAAUUAUUGCCGAUCCUCCCCUCCAACACUGCUCUCAUCACCUAUAUACUCUUCUCUCUGCCCGUCUCUGCUUCCCCCCCCUUCCCCCCCCCCUUUUCUCCCGGCCGACGGAGCUGAAGGGGCGGGGGUUCCUUCCUUGGAGUGUUUCUAGAGCUCGGAGGCUGCUGGUAGGGGGGCACCACUUUCAGAUAAAAACAUAGACCUGAAUGGCAUCAUCCAGUAUCCAAGGAAACCAUUGUGUCUGUAACCAGCUAAUGAGCUGCAACAGAGCCUGGCCUUCAUUUUCAGCAAAUUAAGUUCAUCCCUCAUAGGAAUUGUGGUCUGGCUGUGGCACCGCUCCUAGGUUCUCUAAACAUGAAUAUGCCUUUGGGGGAAGACAGAAGAACAUGGAAGCCAUGUGAAAAAAACGGAUCCUAAGGCAGUUUUGAACAUCUGGAGGCCUGAUUUAUUGGAGAUUGCAAAUGUACAGUGUAACAUAGCUGUGGAGAGCGAGAAGAUCAGGAUUGUCAAUGCUGUCAUUGCUUUUACUGGAAUCCCCAGCACGAAUUGAAGGUCUCACUUUGCCACCUAGGCUGGAUGCAAUGCAACGGUAUGUUGAUCUUGGUUCACUGCAGCCUCAACCUCCUGAGCUCAUGUGAUCCUCCCACCUCAGUCCCCCACGUCGCUUGGAUUACAGGCCUGUGCCACCACACCUGGCUAACUUUUUUUGUAAUUUUUGUAGAGACAGGGUCUCACUAUGUUUCCCAUGCUGGUCUUUAAUGCCUGAGCUCAAGCCAUCCGCCUGCCUCGGCCUCCCAAAUUGCUGGGAUUACAGGCAUGAGCCACCAUGCCCAGCCUAAUUCUUCUAAAUCUUAUCCUAGUAAUUAAGCCAGAAUUUUUCUCUGCCAAGACCAAUAGAUGGACCAAGAAGUACUCAUCCUUGUAAACUUUCUUUGGAUAAAUUGCUUACAUAUAAUAAAUUCAGAGUUAAGUAAUAAAAAUAAUGAACUACUGUCUUGAAUUAUUUGUUCUCAAAUAAUUUCCCUUAAACCCAUUCACACUCGUAUCAGUUUC